rnacentral:rRNA from 1 species
UACCAGCACCCCGAGUGGUCUGGACGAUUAUUGGGCCUAAAGCAUCCGUAGCCGGUCAUGCAAGUCUUCCGUUAAAUCCAGCCGCUCAACGGUUGGGCUGCGGAGGAUACUACGUGGCUAGGAGGCGGGAGAGGCAAGCGGUACUCAGUGGGUAGGGGUAAAAUCCUUUGAUCCAAUGAAGACCACCAGUGGCGAAGGCGGCUUGCCAGAACGCGCUCGACGGUGAGGGAUGAAAGCGGGGGGAGCAAACCGG